rnacentral:rRNA from 1 species
GACGAACGCUGGCGGCGUGCCUAAUACAUGCAAGUCGAACGGAGCGGCGGACGGGUGAGUAAUGCCUAGGAAUCUGCCUGGUAGUGGGGGAUAACGUCCGGAAACGGGCGCUUAUACCGCAUACUAUCAGAUGAGCUUAGGUCGGAUUAGCUAGUUGGUGGGGUAAAGGCCUACCAAUGAGCCGAUCCGUAACUGGUCUGCGAGGAUGAUCAGUCACACGGGAACGGAGACACGGUCCAGACUCCUACGGUAGGCAGCAGUGGGGAAUAUUGGACAAUGGGCGAAAUGCUGGUCCAGCCAUGCCGCGUUUGUGAAGAAGGUCUUCGGAUUGUAAAGCACUUUAAGUUGGUAGGCGGUACCAACAGAAUAAGCACCGGCUAACUACGUGCCAGCAGCCGCGGUAAUAC